rnacentral:lncRNA from 1 species
AUAUAUAUAUUUUUAAAAAAAUUUAAAUUUAAAUUUUUAAAAUUUUAAUAUAAAAAAAUAGAAUUUUUUUUUAUUUUUAAAAUUUAAAUCUCUUAUGAGUCAUCAGUUGGAGGCAUUAGUACAUAUAUUUUUAUUCUAUUUUGGAUAAUGAUGGCCGACAGAUAAUAUUAUCUGCUCUACUAUUGAAAGAUUUAGGGAUGUGUGAGAAGAUGAUCUAAGGAUAUCGGCAACAUGAUCGACUCCACUAUUAAGAGAGUUGAGAAUGUGCGAGGAGAUGAUCAAAAAAGAAAACGAAGGAGAGACUUAAAAGUUUAAAAAUAGUUAGAGAUAAAUAGUAAAAAAUGAUAGAUUUAUGGAGUUUUAAGCUAGUGUUCUAUGCGAAAGUCUUUGUGUACUGCAUGCAAUGCAAUAAAUUUGAUGUCAAAUGCACCAUCCAAUUAUUUUAAAGCAUGUAGCGUACUUAAUGAUAGGAUAUACAUUUAAUAUUGUCCAGCUUUUUCUUUUUUUAAUAUUCAGUGACGAAAAUAUCUUUUCCUCAGAGAAGAAAUAGUAUUAUUACUUUCUAAUACCUUAUAUGACUUUCUAUGAAUAUAUAUGAUGCCCCCAACUAUAUAUAUGACUUUCUGUAUAUUUAUGACAUCCUGAAUAAUAUAUAUAGCUUCUUAAUGCUUUAUAUGACUUUCUGUAAGUAUAUAUAAUAUCCCAAACAAUAUAUAUGACUUCCUAUAAGUAUAUAUGACUUCUUAAUAUUUUAUAUGACUUCCUGUGAGUAUAUAUAAUAUCCCGAACAAUAUAUAUGACUUCUUGUGAAUAUAUAUGACUUCUAGAACAACAUAUAUGGCUUUCUAAUAUCUUAUAUGACUUUCUGUGAAUAUAUAUGACAUCUCGAAUAAUAUAUGUGACUUCCUAUGAAUAUAUAUGACGUCUCGAAUAAUAUAUAUGACUUUCUAAUAUCAUAUAAAGUGUUAGGAAGUCAUAUAUAUUAUUCAAUAUAUUAUAUAUAUUCACAGAAAGUCAUAUAUAUUGUUCGAAAUGUUAUAUAUAUUCAAAGAAAAUUAUAUAAAGCGUUAGAAAAUAAUAUAUAUUAUUUAGGAUAUCAUAUAUAUACUCACAGAAAGCUAUACAAAGUAUCAGAAAGUAAUAUAUAUUAUUCAAGAUAUCAUAAAUAUACAAAAAGUCAUAUAUAUAGUUCAGUACGUUAUAUAUAUUUAUACAAAGUGUAUUAGGAAGUAAUAAUACUAUUCUUUCUUUGUUAUGUAGAAAAAAAAUAUUUUCAUCAUCAAAAAUAAAAAAAAUCAUUAGGUGCACAAAAUAUUACUCGUGUUCUACAAUAACUGGCGAGUGGACUUUUAAGGUGUUUCGGGCUGCACGCUCGGCCCAGUUUGAACUCCAGAACGAAGUCCACGGCCCGCAAGGUAGAGGAAGCGCGCGGUUUCACUGACGCGGUCAAGAAACAACUGCGAAGGACCACCGUCCAAUGAUGGCGGACGGUCCGUUCCAAGGCCCUCUCACGACGGCCUCACUCCGUAAACGCGUAACGCGUUGCGUGGCCCACCGCAUCGCGAUCUUGAGGUCGACUUGAUCGCCACGAACCCUCAUGCCCCACCUCGUGAUUCGUGCACAUCGUGCUGAUUUAUUUACUUCCACGAUGGAAAAGCGUAGAUAUUAAUAUUAAACAAGGAGAAAAAACUGAAGUAGAAAUUCGAGAAUUUAACACAGGAUCGAGAUGAGUUUUUUUUUCUUUUAACUGUAUAUAUAAAAUAAAN